rnacentral:rRNA from 1 species
ACGCUCGACACCUACGGGGGGCAGCAGUCGGGAAUAUUGCGCAAUGGAGGAAACUCUGACGCAGUGACGCCGCGUAUGGGAAGAAGGUUUUCGGAUUGUAAACCAUUUUAGACAAGGAAGAAACAAGACAGUACUUGUAGAAUAAGCUCCGGCUAACUACGUGCCAGCAGCCGGUAAUCUGAGCGGGCUGGCAAGGC